rnacentral:tRNA from 1 species
UGAUAAGAAGAGGACUUAAACCUCUGUUGAUGGAGCU